AAAAAAAGAAGCGACAUUCAUUGCAAUCAGUUUCGGCCUGAUCCUAGGAUCUACCCUUUUUUA
rnacentral:tRNA from 1 species